CACGAAACGUUUGUUCGCCACCACAGCAACCUAAAAUAUAUUGUAUUUAUUGUAUUUUUAUGAAUUAUGAUAAAAUCAAUAAAUAUUUGGGUAGUUUUAUCAUAAUUCAUAAAAAUACAAUAAAUACAAUAUAUUUUAGGUUGCUGUGGUGGCGAACAAACGUUUCGUG
rnacentral:miRNA from 1 species